CUGAAGCAGAACAGUUCUUAUCUCUGCACAAAGAUUUGGCAUGAAAACUCAGUUCCUGUGAUGCUCCAGAAAUCCAGAGCCACAUUUCAAAACAGUAAAAAUCACAUUUGAGAUUCGACAUCCUGCUUUAAGAAAGUUUCAUUUUAUAUAGUUUAAGUCUUCAUUAGUCCUUAUAUCAUCAGAGUCCCUUACAUGCUGUAAAGAUUAGCUAAGGAUAGUCAUGAGCGCAGGUAAAGCUAAUUUGCAAAGCUCCAUCAGUAAUCAGGAAUGAUGUAAAACAAAACUCCAUUGGCCUUGUUAGCAAAUUGACUGGUCUCCACGUCCACUGUGAGGCAUUCCGGGAAAUGGAGGUAGUCAUAGAAUUGGCCUCUUUACAUAUAAGCACAAGCUCACUAGUUUAGCUCACUUGUUAUACAGAGGGGAAAAAAAGUUCCCCAGGCUGUGAACUCUGUAAGUACCUGCCUUCUGUUCUGCAGUGGAAUCUCUCAAAGGUUAAGUAAUAGUAAAUAAUCAACUAAGAUUUCUCAGAUUGGCUGCAUUGACCUUUCUCUGAAAGAAAAAUUUCCCCGUGAAGACAAAACAACUUUGGAAUAAGAGCAGUAUUUCCUGCUUCAGACGUUCAGAGAACAAGAUCAGGCCCGGCCUGACUGGCAGAGGCUGCCUGGGGCAGACAGCUAGACUUGCUAUGUGGGUGAAGGGAGGUGAAGAAAUUGAGGAGCAGAAUCAUAAAAGGAAGCAAGUAGUGAACCCAGGACUGAACCCAGGCAGCCUGGCUCCAAGGCCUGAGCAUGAUGCUGGGAAGAUGGCGAUGGAGUAGGACGGAGCUGAUUCUAGCUCCUGUACUCAUGGGUGAAAAUACUGGCAGAUCUAUAGAGAAACAGUACAAUAAACCAUCGGUUACCCAGCAUUUACGAAAUUAAAAGACCAGAGAUUGUGACCAACAUUGAAACACCAGAUGGCGGCAGAGUCAGCUACUGGAGCUGGGUCUCACGCGGCCCCUGUGCUGCCACCAGAGCAACAGGCCUGGGACCUGGGGAGUCAGGUACGGGAGCCGGACACUCCAAGCCCCUGUGACAGUCCUGGGAGACAGAGGAGUCAGGAACAGAAGCAGGGACAUUCUCGGCCCUUGUGCCGCUGCCAUAGCUACCGGCCUGGGCAACAGAAGAGUCAGUUGCAGGAGCUGGGACACUGGAGACCCCUGUGCCACUGCCAUAGAGACAGGCCAGGGCGCUGGGGAGCCAGCUAUGGGAGCUGGGACAUUCACAGCCCCUGUGCCACUGCCAUAGCGACGGGACUGGACUCCGGGGAGUCAGGUACGAAAGCUGGGACACUCCAAACCCCUGUGAUGGCCCUGGGCGCCAGAGGAGUUAGCUAUGGGAGCUGGGACAUUCUUGGCCUCUGUGCUGCUGCCGUAGUAAUGGGCCUGGGUGCUGGAGGAGUCAGCUACUAGAGCUGGGACAGUCAGCAGUGGUAGGCGACCAGCACGGGGACCAGCGUGAGAGGAGGUGGAGACAGAGAACAUCAAGAAACUUCAAGGAGUCUGCACCACUGAACUUCACAGGUAUCAUACCACAGAAGUUCACACCAUAAACCCAGGGUGUCAGAACAGAUCAAUUUUAGAAGCUGAGACUAAAAAGAAGAGUCUCAAACAAUGGGAAGACAAAGAAACAAUCCCCAAAUGAAAGAAAAAGCAGAAACUUCAGAAAGAAUGUUAGAUGAAACAGAGGCUAAUCAACUAUCAGAUAGUGAAUUCAAAGCACUGGUUAUUAUGAAGUUCAAAGAGCUCACAAUGAGCUAUCAGAAACUACAGGGGAACUACAAUGAUCUCUCUGCAAACUACAUCAACAUGAAAAAAGAAAUAGAAAAUAUCAGCAAGGGACAAGAGGAAAUGGAGAAUACAAUUUCUGAAUUGAAGAACACAGUAGAAAGUUUCAAAAGUAGGAUAGAUGAAGCAGAGGAUAGGAUUAGUGAGUUGGAGGACAAGGUAGAAAGCAUCUCACUGAAAGAGUAAGAAAAUGAAAAGAGGCUCAGAAAGAAUCAAGAGGGAUUAAGAGAAAUGCAAGACAGUAUGAAACGUAAUAAUAUCCAAAUAAUAGGAAUACCAGAAGGAGAAGAAGAAGAACAAGGGAUAGAAAAUGUAUUUGAACGAGUAAUGAGAGAAAAUUUCCCUAAUUUGAUAAGAGAAAAAGUCACACAAAUCCAGGAAUCACAGAGAGUCCCAAUCAAGAAUAACACAAGGAGGCCCACUUCAAGACACAUCAUCAUCAAAAUGGCAAAAUUCCAAGACAAGGAGAGAAUCUUAAAGGCAGCAAGGGAGAAAAAAGAAGUAACAUACAAGGGAGCCCCAAUAAGGUUAGCUACUGACUUCUCAAUGGAAACACUCCAAGCAAGAAGAGAAUGGCAAGAAAUAUUCCAAGUAAUGAGAACCAGAGGCCUACAAUCAAGGCUACUUUACCCAGCAAGGCUCUCAAUCAAGAUAGAAAGCCAAAUAAAGAGCGUCCAAGACAAAAGAAGCCUAAAAGAAUACGCCUCCACCAAACCAGCUCUACAAGAAAUACUAAAAGGACUGCUUUAAGGGAAGGAAGGAAAAGAGGGAGACAGAGAGGAACACAGGUACAAAAAUGGCAAUGAAUAAGUACCUAUCAAUAAUAACCUUAAAAGUAAAUGGAUUAAAUGCUCCAAUCAAAAGACACAGAAUAGCUCAAUAGAUAAGAAAGCAUAACCCACACAUAUGCUGCCUACAAGAGACCCACCUCAGGACAAAAGACCAUCACAGACUAAAAAUGAAAGGCUGGAAACAAGUUUCCCAAGCAAAUGGACAAGAAAAAAAAGCUGGGGUAGCAUUUCUCAUAUCGGACAAAAUAGACUUCAAAAAAAGAGCCAUUAAUAGAGACCCAGAAGGUCACUUCAUUAUACUCAAGGGAAGAAUUCACCAAGAAGACAUUAACAUUGUAAACAUAUAUGCACCAAACAU